GUGGGGAAUAUUCCGCAAUGGACGAAAGUCUGACGGAGCAACGCCGCGUGAGUGAUGAAGGUUUUCGGACUGUAAAGCUCUGUUGUUUAGGACGAAAGUGCCUGUUGCAAAUAGUUACAGGUAUUGACGGUACUGAACGAGGAAGCCACGGCUAACUACGUACCAGCAGCCGCGGUAAUACGUAGGUGGCAAGCGUUGUCCGGAAUUAUUGGGCGUAAAGAGCAUGUAGGCGGGAAUCUAAGUCUGUUGUGAAAAUGCGGGGCUCAACCCCGUAUUGCGAUGGAAACUGGGUUUCUUGAGUGCAGGAGAGGAAAGGGGAAUUCCCAGUGUAGCGGUGAAAUGCGUAGAUAUUGGGAGGAACACCAGUGGCGAAGGCGCCUUUCUGGACUGUGUCUGACGCUGAGAUGCGAAAGCCAGGGUAGCGAACGGGAUUAGAUACCCGUGUAGUCC
rnacentral:rRNA from 1 species